UGGGGAAUAUUGGACAAUGGGCGCAAGCCUGAUCCAGCCAUGUCGCGUGUGUGAAGAAGGCCUUUUGGUUGUAAAGCACUUUAAGCGAGGAGGAGGCUACUUGGAUUAAUACUCUAGGAUAGUGGACGUUACUCGCAGAAUAAGCACCGGCUAACUCUGUGCCAGCAGCCGCGGUAAUACAGAGGGUGCGAGCGUUAAUCGGAUUUACUGGGCGUAAAGCGUGCGUAGGCGGCUUCUUAAGUCGGAUGUGAAAUCCCUGAGCUUAACUUAGGAAUUGCAUUCGAUACUGGGAAGCUAGAGUAUGGGAGAGGAUGGUAGAAUUCCAGGUGUAGCGGUGAAAUGCGUAGAGAUCUGGAGGAAUACCGAUGGCGAAGGCAGCCAUCUGGCCUAAUACUGACGCUGAGGUACGAAAGCAUGGGGAGCAAACAGG
rnacentral:rRNA from 1 species